ACCACUUUUUUUGUUGUUUCUUAUUUUUAUUCCUGUUGGGAAUGAUUCAUCUGCACAUUCUCUCUUGCUUGUUCACUUGUUUGAAAUCUUUGCAUAUGGACACAUCCAGGGCAAGGACCAUACUGCAUGCAGUAGAAACUCAAGUCCUAACAGAUGUUCCCUGGGUAACUGAUGGUGAGAAGAUGAUCAAAUGAUGACAAUGAAGAUGCUGAUAAACAGUUUCUUCUCCUCUCCACCUAUAUUUCAUGAGCUUGCCAAGAGAGACUUCUAACCCUUUCAACUUUAAGGAAGAUUUUACGUGAAAACACAAUUGUUUUGCAGGGUCACAAGUGGCGGAUCCUGUCUCUGUUGGAGGCACUGAAAUUUAUGCAGCAAAAGGAUGACUCUGUGCUCUUUCAUAUCAACCUCCAAGACAUGCCUGAACUUCCAUUAAUGAUCUGUCAUUGUUAUUUAUCUAAACCAGGCCUGCAAGUUGUUGAUGUCAUUAGUCUCCUCCACCAUUUGUGGGCAGUGAGCUUCUCAAGUUGCAAACUUAUCUCUUUAAAACUGAAAGAAGGUCAUUCUGUGCACCUGAAUUUGGGGGAAAACAAUAAAGGGCUGGAUGGAGGAAAAUUCCUUUGUACAACGAGAUAUGAUAGCAAUAUACUUAAUGUCCUGCCAAAACCUUUCACUGGGACUGGAAGCAGCCACGAGUUCAACACAAAGACCACAAACCACUGGCAAUGAAGGUGAGACACAUUUACUUCAUAAUGAUAGCCAGAAAACCACAUUAUUUUAAGGAGAAAAUAGCCAUUACAUUUAGACAUUUUGAGUCUUCUUACACUUUAUGAUUCUAGGAUUCAGAAAGGAUCAUUUUAUAAAAUUCAAUUCUCUAUAUAAAUAUAAAAGCAAACAUAAGGUGUUUAGUGUGGUGCCUGGCACAGAGCAAAUACAGUAAAUGGUCAUCUUUGAUGUUUUCUUUUAUUAAAGUAUAGUUGAUUUACCAUGUUUCUUCAACCUCUGUUGUACAUCAAAAUGAUCCAAUCACACACGGCGAUGUUGUUAUUUUCAUAACUUUGAUCAUCAUCUCCCAUAGGCCACUGGGAAUAGGACCAGAAAGCCGAGCCAACCAGAAGUGUAUCUUCUAUGUAGGUGAUACAGAUAUAAACAUAGACAGACAGAGAGGAAAGACUCUGACAUCCAUCACAUCACAUUCACUUAGGAGCCCUGGUGAGGUAGGAAAUGUAAUAUAAUUAUCCCAGUUUUACAUAUAAGGAAGGCGACACUGAAAGCAUGGUGUCACACCUCCACCCCAUCCCCCACCCCCUCUCAAGAGAAGGUUGCAACAUGCAAUUCUGCCCUUCUGACUCCUGGCAUCUUACUUUUUCUCUUUGAGGUUGAGGGAAGGUUACAAAGGAGACUGGAGGAGGGCAUGCAAGAGAGUUCAAGGGAUAAGAGCUAGACAGAAGGAUGCUGUCUCCAUCCCCUAACCUGUGCAAGGUAUAGCUCUGUCAAUAGACUGCAUUAGUGAGGGCGGCUUAUGAAAUUGACUCUUUACUUUGUUAUUAUCCAUGUAAACUGACUGUAAGUAGGCAUUCACCUACACUCAUGAGUUGUUGAGAUGUCAGCACACAGCACUGUACCCUACAAAAGGCUCCAACUUUUCCUGAAAUUUAUAGUACUUGUUCUGAAGGAGAAGAGAGAUUCUGACAAGCCUGGGUUGAUUUCCCAUCAUGUUCCCUGGCUUCUUGGCUUGAUGAACUAGACCUUCCACGGCGCCAAGCAUAUGCUGACUGCCCUGGAUCACCCAAGGUACGCUGCAGGCCUUCGGAGACCAUAUGUUAGGCAUCUGACAUAUGUUUAAAAAGGAGCUGGUCAUAUUUUCUGAAGAGGAUUUCCAUAAUGUAGUUUCGGCACUUCUCAAAUUAGCCCUGUAGCUCAUCAUGUUUAAUUCAUGCUUAAUUACAUCUGAUUCCGUGAACUUGCCCAUGAAGUCUUCACAAUUGCACUCCCACUGUAACAGCUAUAAUACUUGCUGAAUUUUUCUGUGCUUUCAGCACAAACGUCAGUGCCUUAUGAAGUUUCACAAUUAUGCUAUUCACUGUCAUUUCUCAUCCAGCCAUGAAUCAACAUAAUUUGAUGAUAGCUGUACAAUUAUGAAAAUACUGUCGAGUAGACAUCACCCAUGUGAACCUAGUGCUAAGCAUUAUUGUAAUGAAGUCAGGGGGAAAGUCAUGAAAUUCCUAGCCAGCCCCAACUUAACAGAACAUGAAGUCAUUUAACUUAAUUGAAAGUGUUAGCAGGCAGUGUAGAUACUUCAGCCAUGGAAAUUACACAAAUGAGAGCCGCUUAGGGAAGGAGUGCCUCCAGAGUUGCCUUUCACAGAGACAACAAAGUGAUCAGGUUUACCCUGGCAUUUCAUGUGCACUCAUCCUCCUUCUCUCAGUACCAUUUGAUAAUCUCCCACCUACCAUGUUUAAAUCAAGUCCUACAAAACCCCAUAUCGGAAAGUUGUGGAGUCAUAGCUGAAGGAACUUUGCCGAUGACCUAAUCCCUCACAUUCAUUUCACAGAUGAGAAACUCAGACCCAGACUCUCCUAAUAUCACAGCAGUAGCCUGGAACUGGAACUCAGGUGUUCCAACACCCAAGCCAGAAAACAGUUUUCAACAUGUACCAGCACACAUCUCAGUAAUGGUAGCUAAGUGCAAUGAGUGAAGGCCUGAAACUUUGUUUCUACCUGAGACAUGGAAUUCCAAAGUCUCAGGCUUUGUCUCUUCCCCACUCAAAUAGGCCAUCCCUGCUAGUCUGGCUUUAUGCCUAAAAACCUCACCAUUAGAAGUUCUUCUUUGAAAAAAAAAAAAAAAAGAGUUCCCAUCGUGGCUCAGUGGUUAAUGAAUCCGACUAGGAACCAUGAGGUUGCGGGUUUGAUCCCUGGCCUCGCUCAGUGGGUUAAGGAUCCAGCGUUGCCGUGAGCUGUGGUGUAGGCCAGCAGCUGUAGCUCUGAUUCGACACCUAGCCCAGGAAACUCCAUAUGCCACAGAUGCGACCUAAAAAGACCAAAAAACAAAAAAAGUUCUUCUUUGGAUUUAAGCUUUUGGGUUCCUAGGAGAAACUUGUUUAAAUGGAAAUAACGCAUUAUAUAGCCAGGGUUGUCCCUGAAAUGGCCCAAGAAAUCUUUUGCAGAGAUUUUUUUUUAAUUAGCGUAUGGAUUUACAGUGUUGUGUCAUUUUCUGCUAUACAACAUAGUGACCCCGUCAUAUAUAUAUGUUUGUGUGUAUAUAUAUAGAUGUUUAUAUAGAUGUGUGUGUGUGUGUGUGUGUGUGUGUGUGUGUGUGUGUAUUCUUUUUCUUGUACCAUCUUCCAUCAUGUUCUACCCCAAGGGAUUGGACAUAGUUCCCUGUGCUGUACAGUAGGCAUGGAUUUAAAUCAGCAAUCAGGGCCUGAACCUGAAGGAUGGAAAACAGAUAAUAUUUGAUGAAGGUAAGUGACACAGUGGACUGAGGGAGGAGAUACUGACCCUGGAGUGGAACCACAGUGUGUACCUGGAAUCUGAUGGUCUGGAUGGUAAACCCACCUUAAAGGGGCAGUGCUUAGAACAAGUGGGCAAAUGGAGAGAAAGAGACUCUGAUAAAGGGCAUUGGGGUGGGUGAUUAAUACCCUGCAAAGACCCAUGAAUAAUGACCAUUGACCACUACCUCCUUCUCAGAAGAAGAGCUAUAUAUGUCCAGGCAACAUUUCCCUUAUCCACCCCCUUCUUUCUCAGAAAAAAAGCAAUAAAAAUUUCUGUAUACAUCUUAGGCACUUUGCCUAAGGGUUUUCUAGGCAUCUAUUACAUAUAGGUUUUUUAAUCCCUUAGCUGGACAGUUUGGUUUGAGAAAAUCUUCUGAGUUCAGGCAUCAGAGAGAAAGCUCCCAAACAAAACAUCUUCCUCCCAAGCUUUUGCUUCCUCAAAAUGACUGGGCUAGUUCUGAAGUCCACAAGGUACAGGAAAAGAACUGCAGUAGCUACCUAGCAGCUCUUCUGGCUCCCUCCCCUUCUCUCCACCUUCAUACCUUACACAUACAGGCUGGACAGGGCGAUUAUGGUGACUCUUAAAGUCUCUGACACCAGACCUGCCCUGCUUUACUCUGGAUGAAGAUAUAAUAAGGUAGGCAAUUUCCAUAGGGAGGCAACCUCCACCUGUGGGAUGAGAUGAUCUGUUAUAGAUGACUUUCUGGUGUGUCUAAGUCAAUCCACUGUCAAGGCACAGUGCUAGUCAAGGAGAAUAGAGAGAAAAAUCCAGAAACUCAGGUCUGAGUCUCAAGAACUUCCAACCCAGUGGAGGCAAGAGGCCAUCUGUGCAGAGAGACAGACAACAAAAAUGUUGAGAUCAACCAAUGAGAGGAAAGAGGAGAGGAAAGGAAUGCAGAAGAGGCAUGAAGGGGGAAAGGAAGAAGAAAAUGGAUGAAAGAGAAGGGACAGACCUGCAUCUUUAGGAAGAUGACGAUAACAGUUAAGUAAAUACCAUGUUCCUAGCAUAGGAGGGUCAUUUAUACACAUUUUCUUACUUGAUGGUAUUUGUGAUUCUACAGCUCCAGGAAGAACUGUAAUAAUUAGUGGACAAGUACCUGUCUCCUAAAAUGUACCACUAGGAAAAGUAACUGAGCAAAGGUAUAGCAAUGGCGGAUGGCAAAGCGAAUCUGGUGCCCAAGAUUUGAUAGCAGUGAGUCAAUAGCAGGAGCUCUGCCUUAUAGCUCCUUCCUCUGGAAACAUCAUCUGCCAUUUUAUCAACUUAGCUUUGAGCGUCCCGUAACACUUGGCAUAGCAUGCUGGACGGCACAGGUGCCCAACAUUCUUGUGUGGGCUUGCCUUGUAUUAUAACUUCAUUUGUGAGUGACCACAGGGCCUGACAGAACUAGACCCACCGUGGACCUCUGGCUGAUCUAUCCUAAUAAGCACAGCCAUUAAAACCUGCUCCCCUUUCCCUCCACACGCCCACCACUUCCCUCGAGGGCAAAGUCACUCUCAAGUGCCAAGAGCAGAAGUGGCAUUAGAGGGGUUAGUAAUGCUGAGAGGGUGGGAAAGGGGCACGGGGAACAACAGCACUCAUGCUGAAGACUUUUACACCCAGAGCAGGCCAAACCUUGGUCUGCCAGCUUUGAAAACGCUGGCCUCCACACACACAGAGUCUGCCAGAAUCAGAGAUUCUAUUGUGGAACUCUCUCUAGGCUCAGGGAAAUAGUUAUUAACUGUGGCUUCCACAGGCUAGGAUUAUGCCAGGUGGGAG
rnacentral:lncRNA from 1 species